UUACAAACACUUUAUGAGUAUAUUGUGGCACACAUCAAUGCUCCGAGUAAGCCAUGCUGUAUUCAAGGUUUUAUUUCUGACUCACUGGAAGCUUUUGACGGUGGAAUGUGGUGGAUCCCAAAUAUGAGAAGAAUGAAA